UAUUUUACAGCUAACAUGAAGUCAAUCACCGUAUGCCUUUAAAAAAUGCUUUUCAAUAUACCCAGUUAUUACGUGCUUUGUCUGCAGUACCAAAUUAUCAGUCCAACUAAAAGAACUAACUUAAAAUAUAUGGAUGGCAUAUCAGAACAAGUACUUGCUUGAUGAGAUACAUAAACACAAUAUUCAAAUAACCCGUGAGAGAAUUAUCUAACCAUAAACACAAUAUUCAUCAAAUAAUUAACUAUGCGGCAAUAAUCCUAUUACAUUACUGCCCACCAAACUCAGAGAAGUAGUUUAGUUGCAUUACUUCUUGCCAUGGAUUGAUAGCAGUAAGGACAACUGAUAAUCCAAAAUAAUGAAGUUGGAAAAAACAUAAGUUGGGGCAUACUGAUUUACUGAUCUUAUGGGUGACUGUAUCAGGUCAAAUAAUGGUGGGCAAGCACUGAGACGUCUGUCUUGUCCGUUGGGUGAACAAUUGCAAUGGAGAACUAAUGUGGGAGGUGUCCUAGAGCAGCAUCAACACUGUACUGCAAAUAAAUUAACCCAUCAGAAGUUCUAAAAUGACCCAAAGAAUCAGAGAAUGAGGAAAUGGAGAGGGCUACAUACAUAUGUCAAGUUGAUACCUGAAACCAGUCAUUUGGAUCACAAAUACUACUCAGUCAGCUUGAACCUAAAAUAAGAACCAAGAUGAGGGAAGCUGCCGACCUUGAAAUAGAAACAAUAUGAAGAUCAUGUGUCUCAAAAAUCUUGUUUGCACAUGGUAGUGAACUACUUAUUUACAACAAUUUUUCUUUUUUGGUAUAUAUGAGAUAUUGGGUAUCAAUUGCUAGCUAUCUACACAACACUAACAUAUGUGAGCCGCUAGAUAGAAUCAAGUGCAAACAAGAUCUGUAGGUAAUCACAUCUAUAAUAAUUUGGUGGAAAAAAUCAAGCCAUCGUGAUCCCAUUGACAUGUUAAAACUUGCAUCAAAAUUCAAACAUAGUACAAAUAUCAUUUUGAAAAUGAGCAUCAUAAAAUUCAGAAAAAAUAUUGAUCCAAUGGAUAACUCAAAACACAGAGCAAUCAUUUGCACACUCAAAUAUUGAUCCAAUGGAUAACUCAAAUAUUGAUCCAGAGAAGGCACCUACAGUGACAGUCGUAUGACCGAGUUUGACCUCACUAUUAUUAUUAAUGAGUAAAGAUAAGAAGAAAGUCAUUUGCACACUCCGCAAAUAUAAGAAAACUAAUGCAGAAUAUAGUCUUGGUUUGAUAGAGCAAUCAGUCUUGGUUUGAUGUGCUUGGUCAGAAGUAGCAGAGCGGGACUGGAGGACAGCACAACAUCCAGGGCAGUGGAUAGUUCAUCUGCUCAGUCAGAAGGUGCACGUGACGUAGUUGACUGAUGGUAUUGAGGCUAGAAAUAUUGAAGGAAGUGAUUACAAUGAGAUGUUAACUGAACCAAAUCGGGAUCAGAAAAGAUAUUUUUACCCUAACCAACAUGCUAUUAUCAUGUCCUAUAUAAAAAGUUUCAAAUAGUGAAUCAUUCUCAGCUAAAAACAGUGACCCUCACAAUCUGUAUCCAUUGCAUGUAGAGAACUUCCUAAUAUAAAGAUGCAGGCAAACUCACUCACAAAUUUCUAAUUAUAAUGCUACCGAAUAUCAGGAAACAAGACUAAAACCAAAAAAUGAUUCCAUCAAUAGCCUCUUCUCCUUUCUUGUGAAUCCUGACUAUAUAUAGCUAAAGGAGAAGAAUAUUGAUAUGUUGCCAGUCGUAUAAAAUAGAGCUAAUUACUAAAGCUUCUAAAGUAAGGAUCAGAGGCCGAUGCAUGUCUUGACUAAUAUGAAAUGCGCAUAUCCAAAACAAAACUUUAGAGCCUUUAAGAAAUAAGAUAUGUGAGUAUCUGACAAACGCAAUAACAGUGAAGGCACAAAACAAAAGAGAUAGUUAAAACUCAGAUAUGGCAAGCUGGCAGUUUUGUCCCUGACCACUAUGAAGAGGGCAUCUUUGUCCCCUAUGAAGAAACAAGUCAGACCUGCAUAUAUAUGUCCAAUUUUCAUACAUCUCCAGAGCAAAACAAACAAGAUGAAAGAUUGUACUUCUGAAAUCAUCAUGUUGCAAAAAGAAUAGUGAAAUAUAAUAGCAGAUGGUAACACAUAGAAGAAUGUUUAUUACCCCUUCUCUCAUGUCCUUGCUGAUGACUUUGCCAUUUCAAAAAUCUUCCUUCAGCCUUCCAUUUGACCAUACUUCUGAAAUCAUCAUACUGCAAAAAGAAACACCAAAUUCAGCAAGCCAAAAGUUCAUUUCUUCUAUUUUACCAAACUAUAAAUUCAGAAGUUAGGUCUCAAAAGUUCAGCGAACCAAAAGUUUAUUCCAGUCAAUUUUUUGUGGGAAAUCCUAUAUCGCUUGGACGCACAAGUCCAGCCAUGGAUUUGCAUUGUCCAUCCUAUAAUACUGUCCAUAUCUACAUCAAGUAGUAGAUGUCUUGCUAUCUUGUAAUUUGCAUCUUUAAGUUGGAUUAGUUCUCACUUUCAUCUAAAAAUCAAUGCAUCUGUCGUCAUAUAAUAUGAAAUUCACAGAGAUUAGCUGAUGUAUUGUUCUUCAAUUCCUUCUCCCACAUAUUACAAUUGGGAAUACAAAUGACUCCUUGGAAAUUCGAUGAACAGAAAAAAAUGUUGAUUGAAGAGAGGAAGCUUCACUAUAUUACCAUGGGCGUGUGACGAACAGCUUGUUGGCCAGGGCUGGACUUCGUCGUCUGCUUGGGCCGACAUGGCGGAUGCAUGAGGAGUGGAGAGAGCCCGCAUCCGGCGGAAGCAAGGCAGGUAAGC
rnacentral:lncRNA from 1 species